UGAGUAACCUGCCCUUAACUCUGGGAUAAGCCUGGGAAACUGGGUCUAAUACCGGAUAUGACUCCUCAUCGCAUGGUGGGGGGUGGAAAGCUUUAUUGUGGUUUUGGAUGGACUCGCGGCCUAUCAGCUUGUUGGUGAGGUAAUGGCUCACCAAGGCGACGACGGGUAUCCGGCCUGAGAGGGUGACCGGCCACGCUGGGACUGAGACACGGCCCAGACUCCUACGGGAGCAG
rnacentral:rRNA from 1 species